rnacentral:lncRNA from 1 species
AUGGUGAAGCGAUGUGCCUAUGGCGUAUGUAAAUCGGACAGUAGGUACCCCAAGAGUUUGGCUGGGGGAGUCGUGUUCUUUCCUUUUCCAAAGCCGAAAACACAACAGGAGCGGUGCCUACGAUGGAUCAAACAGUGUGGAAGGCCCCACUCCCAGCUAAAUGUCACGAAAAUAAACAAGCAUGCAUACGUCUGCUCCAAGCAUUUUGUGAAUGGACAGCCUACCCCUGAGUAUCCCGACCCUGUACUUGCUGUACAAGUGUCGAACCAGACUAGGGAGCAGCUCGGAGGCUGUCGAAAGCCACCCCAAAAACGAUGCAGAUUAAGUGUGCAGGAUGCCUCUGGCUCCACCUCCAGCACUGAUGAUGCAGACGAGACUCAACAGUAUAUUGUUGACAGUGAGAGUACUGAGCAACCCCCACUUCCUGGAUGGCAGUGUAGCAGGGUUAAUGCUUCCCACUUGCAUUAAGGCAUCCAGCAGAUCUCCAUUAGAGUCUGGGAGUCGCGAGAUCCAAGAAACAGUCCUAUCCUCUGAAUCACAAUCAGGCAGGACGGUAGAACCCACAACACCAUCCGGAAAGGAAUCAUCUGUAGCAAAGUCACUCACACAGGAACCGUAAUUUUCGGACCCAGGUGGGAUAGGCAAGAAAUUGACAGGCAUUAUCAAAUUUCUAUGGACCACCUUCUCUCGAUCCGUUGUACAGUUCUUGAUCCUGAAGGUGUGUGUGUUUUCGUGUUUCUCCACAACAGUGUGCAGGUGACUGUCCCAGCGAUCAGCCAACUUUCUCUUCCCACGCUCUCCUUUGUUGGCUAAAAGAACCCUGUCCCCAACUUCCACAGCCGCGCCCCUGAACUUCCUGUUGUAUAAGGCAGCUUGUCUCUGCUGCUGUUUAGCAGAGGAGGUCUGAGCGAUUUUUAUGGCCUCUGCCAGAUCAUGCCUGAGACCCUGCACAUAGGCGUCAUAAUCCACCAGCUGAUCAUCCUGAAGGACAGACCCAAACAACAGGUCGACUGGCAGCCUGGGUGUCCGCCCAAACAUCAGCUGAAAUGGAGCAAACCCUGUGGUCUCGUGCACUGUAGCAUUAUAGGCGAAGGUGAGAGAUUUCAGAUGCUGCGGCCACCUAUGCUUGGCCUUGGGCGGCAAGGCUCUUAUCAUUCCCCCAAGGGUGCGAUUGAAUCUCUCAACAGCUCCAUUGCCCAUGGAGUGGUACGGGGUGGUGUGCGAUUUCUGGACACCAGCAGCAAUGAGCAUCUCGGCUAUAAGACUGCUUUCGAAGUUGGCCCCCCGGUCCGAAUGUAUGCGCUCAGGAAAGCCGUACACACAGAAGAAGUUGUUCCAAAGUUGAUUUGCAACAGCUUUUGCUGACUGGUUUGGACAGAGGUAUGCCUGAGCCAGUUUGGUAAAAUGGUCGGUAACCACAAGCACAUCAAGUGACUUGUUAGAAGAAUCCUCAGCCGACCAAAAGUCAAUACAAACCAACUCGAGAGGCCUAGAUGUCACUAUGCUCUCGAGUGGCGCCCUGCCCUCCGGCUCUGGAGACUUGCUAAAUACACAGCGGCGACAACACCGCACGUAUUCCUUCACGUCUCUCUCCAUGCCUUGCCAGUAGAAUCUCUGUCUAGAGAGGUAGAGCGUUCGUCUUUGGCCUUGGUGACCAGCUUCAUCAUGCACACCUCUGAGGACCUCUUCCCUCAGUACCAAGGGCACAACAUACUGGUACGUCUUCCGCUGUGUGACAACAUCCUUCGAAACACGAUAG